UUGCAUAGGUAAUUACUGAACACAUUUUUAAACACAUACAGACUACUACAGAUGCAAGAAAAAGAAGGUCCUUGCACUUUCUGUCUGUCUGGUUGUGGUAGCCAAGAUUGAAUGGGGGAAUAAAGGA
rnacentral:snoRNA from 1 species